AUGCAUCCAAUUCAAAACUUUCAAUGUAUGUAUUCAAGUACAGCCGCUGCAUGGUGUUCAUUCAUAGAAUUAUUGUUCACACUUCACACAAACAAUAUGAAAAGAAAAAGAAUAAAAUCUUGAUAUAUUUUUUUCUUGGUCAGGUUACCAUCUGAAGCAAGUGUUCAGUCUUAAAAAUUUGCUGGCAAAGCUCUUCAAAAUCUGGAGGGAACCCAAAAGACAAACUCCCAGACACAUGUACAGAACUCGUAAGCUAUACGUGUACUUGACAAAACACCGUGAACACAUACUGUCAUGAGAAUUCUUUCCUAAUCCGAACGAAUUUAUGAUUUUCUGAGAUCACCAAAAGCCCUAACUUGCAGAAAAUGCAGUCAUUCGAUAGUCAUGGGAAGAUCUAUUUAGCUUUUGCUGAGCUUUUAUCCUUCUCAGAUGAUGGAUUCGACGAGAGAGGCUUGUCCUCGACAGAAGCAGCUGAAGUAACAGGUUUCUUAAGCUGAACCAAGAUCAUUGUCAUGUUGUCACACCCCUCUCCACCAGAUGAUGGUGCCAAGCACCUUUCAAACACUCUCUCACAAAUCACCGAGAGUUUACUUUCCUACAUUAUCAUACAAAUAUUUUAUGUUACUCAGACAGUAUAUAUUUGGAUAUAUAAGGGAAGUCUCCUCAACUUACAUGUUUUAAUUGUUCCCGAACGUAGUCCACAAGUUGUUGGCUUGACAUGCAGUCCCUAGAGAGCGUGCAUCAGUGUCAACAAAGUAGGAACAUAUUAAUUUCACUUAUAUUUCAGAAAUAGAAAAUACAGCAUUAGAAAAAUCAUACGACAGAGACACAAGUUCAACAAUGUUGUCAGCCUUUUGACCUCCCAAACAUGUGCUUUCUAAGAACCUAACAAGGAGUCAAAACUAAAUGACAUGAAGUAACAACUGGAAGAACAAUACUUUGAGGAGCAGUUGAGAUCUUGAAACCAAUCAGGUAAAGAAGGUGGAGAAAAAGCAAGCACAGAUAACAACUAAAUUGUUGACAACACAGACAAACAAGAAUAUGAGAGCAUUCAGGAAUUGCCUUAGGUAAACAGUAAACCAAAUGGCACUAAAAGAAAGUACUCACCUCACCUUACUACCACACAUAUUUUCUCUCGCACAAGCAUUGGAUGGAUAAUAAACAAUGUUAUUAACUUUUUUUUUUCCCAUGGGAACAAAUAUUCAAAACUAAGUUACAGGGAAAUCUUGACAGAGAACCACGUAUGAAUUUACGAGUGCAUUCUUCAAUAAUAUUUAGUUUUGGGCUUACUAUCACAUGAUACACCGGAGUAACAGGUUCAACGGAGACAAGUUCAAAUCAGCAGACCUUCGCAUCAAAGAUUCUUCCCUUAAAGGAAAACUUUUAAAUCCAGAUACAGAACACAGGAGAUUCAACUUGAUUACUUUCCUCCGACAUUUUGGAAAAUAAGAAGCUAACAAGGUUACUUGUACAUUUAUAACCAUAACUAUAUUGUCGGAGAGCUUGCAAAUCUUGUAUAUAUACUAGUUAAAGCCAAGUGUCAUCAGACCGUCAACUACAUAUAACUUCAUUCUUACAUUAACCAGUAAUUGUUAAAUUCCAUGCAUUUACAGGCUUCUAAAGAGAUGGUAAUUGGUUCUUCCACAGGAUGUAUUUCUAGCUAACUGUUUAAGUAACAGCCAUCUUAACUUGUGAGAAGAACCAACCACAUAAAGCCCUUCCUUCCACCCUUCCAAUUUUUCUAGUCUUACCCCUACAGCCUUUGGCGUUGGAGAACAUAUCAGAUGGAGAUAAAAUAUACACAGUAAUUGACAGAAACCUAUUUUUUCGGAUAGGAAAGUAAAUUAAAAAGGGAAACAAACUUACCAUAUCCCAUCACAAGCUAUGACGAGAAACUCAUCAUCAUCACAAAUCUCAACCUACAUCAAGGGAAAUUUUAAAACUUUGAACAACAUAAAAUUAGAGCAACUGCAAACAAAUCUGAUAAACAACCAUCGACAAGUCCUAUUUAUACUACGAAGAGGCGGCAACUAAUGGCUUUUGAUUGGUCGAAUGUGAGGCUGGUGAUAUGCUCGAUUCCAAGAUUAUCCAAUUUUCCCUUGAUGCCAACAGCUCAUGCUUUAAACAAAGGCCUAGUCAUAUAUGGGUAGUGUUAUAAAAUAACCUGGGAUAUGUGUGAUAAUUCAGAGCUGCACGUAAAGUAGAUGAGACACAGUAUUUAACGAGGUUCGGCUAUGCCUACGUCAUCGGAGAGCAGCAGCAGUAACUUUUCCACUAUGUAAAAUAAUAGGGCUACAAGUUUAGUGUUUACAAUAUAUGUGGCUCACUGAAUUUUCUCUCUAGGAGAAUUUCUCUCUGCUCUCUCUUUCCUCUUUCUUCCUUCUCUUCCUUUCUCCUUUUUUCUUCUCUUCUUCUUUCCGUUUCUCUUCUUAUUUAUAGGCUGAAAUAAUCACUAUUCAUCACUAUUCAUCACUGUUCACCCGUGACAGACAAACUCUAUCAAAGCCGCCAAAUGAACAGUAAUGAACAGUAAUGAACAGUAAUGAAAACUCUAUCAAGCCGCCAAAUGAACAGUAAUGAAUAGUUAGUGGGCUCCACAUGUUUAUUCUUUUACAACACUCCCCCUUGGAGACCACUAAUGAUAUGUCGGUUGUAUCAUUAAAGACUUGCUUGGAGAAAACCUAGUAAGGUAGAGAACUGAUGGAAAGAAGAGUACAACAAUCUGUAUAGCAUACUUCUGGAUGCUCCCCCUGAUUAAUAUCUCCCCCUGAUGUCUUCAUGACUAUCUUUUGGAUUGAGAAUCUUUCGGAGUGACACAUAUACAAUUAUAACCAANNNNNNNNNNNNNNNNNNNNNNNNNNNNNNNNNNNNNNNNNNNNNNNNNNNNNNNNNNNNNNNNNNNNNNNNNNNNNNNNNNNNNNNNNNNNNNNNNNNNNNNNNNNNNNNNNNNNNNNNNNNNNNNNNNNUAUUGUUUUCAAAAUUUUGAAUAAUACAGACACAAUUUACAUAUUAUACCUGUAUUUUUAAUAUAUUAUUGAAUAAAAAUAAUAUAUUUAAAUAUAUUUAAAUAAAUUAUAUUAAAAUAUUAUAUAGUGGUUGAACUUUUUAGUUGUAUCUUGCCAAAAUUUUACCUUAUAAAACACGUACAUAUUUUAUUCAUACUUUUCCCAUUCCAUAUUUUACCAUAUAAAACACAUAUUAUAUGAAUAGUUUAGAAGAUUCAAUACACGGAUUAUACACAUUUGUACUGUAAAACACGUAUCUAACAUAAAACAUUAGAGGAUUCUACACUUACAUUUAUUAUUGUAACGAGAAAUGUGUAGAUCUAUUUUGGGACCCAAUAAUUAAAUAUACCAAUUUUUUUUUUUGUUAAUAUUAUAAUAUACCAUUAAAUUAUCAAAGAGAAACUUCAUUAAAUAAUCUUCGACAAUACAAUGAAGACAUCAACAUAGUUAUGUAUUGUAUACUUCUGGGACAACUAUUGUAGCUUACUAAUAUAGUUAUGUAUUGUUCGUUAGACAUGCAUCCAAUUCAAAACUUUCAAUGUAUGUAUUCAAGUACAGCCGCUGCAUGGUGUUCAUUCAUAGAAUUAUUGUUCACACUUCACACAAACAAUAUGAAAAGAAAAAGAAUAAAAUCUUGAUAUAUUUUUUUCUUGGUCAGGUUACCAUCUGAAGCAAGUGUUCAGUCUUAAAAAUUUGCUGGCAAAGCUCUUCAAAAUCUGGAGGGAACCCAAAAGACAAACUCCCAGACACAUGUACAGAACUCGUAAGCUAUACGUGUACUUGACAAA
rnacentral:lncRNA from 1 species